CUCGUUCCUCGGGCCAUUUCCUUCCCUCUUCUUUCUAUAUCUUUCUUCACGGAUUUCAAGGAGAGCUUGAUCCUUUUUUAUUUAUUGUUCUUAUUCUCUUUAAUAGUCUUCUUAAUCUCCCUCUCUCUCUCUCUGGUUCGGUCUCUCUUGGUUUGACAAUGGCUGCUGCUGCUGCUUAUUCGGACCGUUUUUGUACCGGUUCCGAAGAAACCUCGUAGAGACAAGAAAACCCAUUGAUGCCUCAGCCAUACUCCAUCGCACAUCGAACCUGUGGAUCUGACCAAUUGACGCAGAUAACACCAUCUCUGAGUCGCCGAAAAGACGAAGGCAGGUGUUGAUCAUUCUCUCGGUUAGUAAGCAAAGCAGACCAAGACCGACCAGGUACGGUGACUUCCGUCAAUGACGAUCGACCUGCAAACCAAGAAAGCAAACCGCAGAGACGAACCUCGAGCAAGAGAAAGAUAAGUAUUCGACAUCCUAACUCUGAUUCCUUUAGUUGUUCACAGAUUUUAGGGUUUUGCUUUGGGAUUAGAUUUCAGGUUCAUAUGUUAUCGCAUGAGUAUGCAUUACACACGCACACACACUUGCACAGAUGAAUUACGAGUUCGGAUCACUCGAUGUGAGUGAGCCUACGUCUCGGCAGUUUUCCGAUCACCGGAAAACCAGAGUUCAUCCACUAUAAUUAACAAGAGAUACGCAUACAUACAUGUUACAUCUCUUUACCGAGAACUUACAACACGUACUCUUCCAUUAUUUCAGGUAAGCGCCAAGAAGCCAUACUCCUGAAGAUUGCUUCAACGAUUCAUGAAGAACUUCAGGUAUCUUCCUUGAGAACUCCAGGUCUGAGACCUCUUUCUUGUAUCUCUCUUUCCGAAUACCAAACUUCAGUUUCAGAUCUUUAAUCAAAUCAUGACUUCAAAUAUGAGCCUUAGAUCUUGAAUCAACAUUCAACACUAGAUUUACGCAGACAUCAAGUAUCAAAUGAUUUGGAAUCUGAACUUAAAAGUUCAUGUGAAGCAUAAAUCACUGUCGAGUGAGUUACAGAGUCACCGAGAUGCUGAUGCUAAGAAUAAAGCCGAUCUUAAACGAAUAAGAGAUGAGCUAGAGAUGGAGGUGGCAGAGUUUCCACAGCGUAAAUGGCGAGUUGGCAGCACUGAGAGCAGAAAGGGACGCAACAAUGGUGAUAGGACCAGAGAUAAACAGAGAUGUAACUCGCUGAAGUGACAGCGUAGAAUGGCUCAUCAGUCGGCUCCUAGAAACAGGGGCAACUGAGAGUCUUUCUUCCAGCAAUUGCUCUGAUCAGUUGAAGGGUGCCAAAUCGCCGCAUGAGCUUGUAGCUGCGGCCGAUGAUUUGAAAUGUCGGACCGAGGAGGUGUAAGAUUCCCUUGGCGAAUUUUGAGGUUUCAAUGUUUUAUUUGUGAAUAAUUAUUAUUCUGUAUUUAUGAGAGAUUGAGAUUCGAAACCUUGAUUUUUUUUUACCAGAUAUGUAAUCACUAUUUGAUAUAUGGCAUUAGUUGCAAUGUAUCAAAACCAUUAUCGAUUUUACGCAAUCACUUGUAUGAUUAAUAAAAUCAACCUAAUGUGCUCAAAUUUCUUA